rnacentral:rRNA from 1 species
CAGAGGUUACUGCUAUSGACGRYUCGACUAAGCCAUGCGAGUUGAAUGUUCUUCGUGAACAUGGCGGACUGCUCAGUAACACGUGGACAACCUACCCUUGGGUCCGGCAUAAUCCUGGGAAACUGGGAAUAAUUCCGGAUAGGUCACCGAUGCUGGAAUGCGCGGUGGCCGAAAGCUCCGGCGCCCGAGGAUGGGUCUGCGGCCUAUCAGGGUUGUAGUGGGUGUAACGUACCUACUAGCCUACGACGGGUACGGGUUGUGAGAGCAAGAGCCCGGAGAUGGAUUCUGAGACACGAAUCCAGGCCCUACGGGGUGCAGCAGGCGCGAAAACUUUACAAUGCGGGAAACCGUGAUAAGGGGAUCUCGAGUGCCAGCAUAUAAUGUUGGCUGUCCAGAUGCCUAAAAAGCAUCUGUUAGCAAGGGCCGGGCAAGACCGGUGCCAGCCGCCGCGGUAACACCGGCGGCCCGAGUGGUAACCGCUAUUAUUGGGUCUAAAGGGUCUGUAGCCGGCCAGGUAAGUCCCUUGGGAAAUCUGGCAGCUCAACUGUCAGGCUGCUAGGGGAUACUGUUUGGCUUGGGACCGGGAGAGGUGAGAGGUACCUUGGGGGUAGGGGUGAAAUCUUGUGAUCCUCGAGGGACCACCAGUGGCGAAGGCGUCUCACCAGAACGGGUCCGACGGUAAGGGACGAAAGCUAGGGGCACGAACCGGAUUAGAUACCCGGGUAGUCCUAGCCGUAAACGAUGCUCGCUAGGUGUCAGUCACGGUGCGACCGUGAUUGGUGCCGUAGGGAAGCCGUGAAGCGAGCCACCUGGGAAGUAUGGCCGCAAGGCUGAAACUUAAAGGAAUUGGCGGGGGAGCACUACAWCGGKUGGAGCCUGCGGUUUAAUUG